rnacentral:rRNA from 1 species
AUUGAACGCUGGCGGCAGGCCUAACACAUGCAAGUCGAGCGAGAGGCGGACGGGUGAGUAAUGUCUGGGAAACUGCCCGAUGGAGGGGGGUAACAACUGGAAAAGGUAGCUAAUACCGCAUACCAUCAGAUGUGCCCAGAUGGGAUUAGCGAGUAGGUGGGGGAACGGCUCACCUAGGCGCCGAUCCCUAGCUGGUCUGAGAGGAUGACCAGCCACACUGGAACUGAGACACGGUCCAGACUCCUACGGGAGGCAGCAGUGGGGAAUAUUGCACAAUGGGCGCAAGCCUGAUGCAGCCAUGCCGCGUGUGUGAAGAAGGCCUUCGGGUUGUAAAGCACUUUCAGCGGGGAGGCGUUACCCGCAGAAGAAGCAACGGCUAACUCCGUGCCAGCAGCCGCGGUAAUAC